rfam:Felis catus breed Abyssinian Contig138896.1, whole genome shotgun sequence. [26-MAY-2016]
UUAACCCAACACAGGGAUGCAAAUUAGGGAAAGAUUAAAAGAAGUAAAAGGAACUCGGCAAACACAAGCCCCGCCUGUUUACCAAAACAUCACCUCUAGCAUUUCCAGUAUGAGAGGCACUGCCUGCCCGGUGACGCUAGUUAAACGGCCGCGGUAUCCUGACCGUGCAAAGGUAGCAUAAUCAUUUGUUCCCUAAAUAGGGACUUGUAUGAACGGCCACACGAGGGCUUUACUGUCUCUUACUUCCAAGCCGUGAAAUUAACCUUCCCGUGAAGAGGCGGGAAUAUAAUAAUAAGACGAGAAGACCCUAUGGAGCUUUAAUUAACCGACCCAAAGAGACCCUAUAUCAAUUAACCGACAGGAACAACAAACCUCUAUGUGGGCCGGCAAUUUAGGUUGGGGUGACCUCGGAGAACAAAACAACCUCCGAGUGAUUUAAAUCUAGACUACCCAGUCGAAAGUAUUACAUCACUUGUUGAUCCAAAAACCUUGAUCAACGGAACAAGUUACCCUAGGGAUAACAGCGCAAUCCUAUUUCAGAGUCCAUAUCGACAAUAGGGUUGACGACCUCGAUGUUGGAUCAGGACAUCCCGAUGGUGCAGCAGCUAGCGAAGGCUCGUUUGUUCGACGAUUAAAGUCCUGCGUGAUC